AGAAGGAUCAUUCACACCGUUAACUACUCCACUGGUCCUGCAUGCAUGCACGAAAUCAAGGCAAUUGGUUAACAACUCAUUUCAAAAAAUUAUUUUUAAAUCACGACUUUCAGCGAUGGAUGUCUCGGAUCUCGUAACGAUGAAGGACGCAGCUAGCUGCGAUACGCAGUGUGACUUGCAAACUUCUGAGAAUCAUUAGAUUUUUGAACGCAAAAGGCACUUCCAGGCUCUGCUUGGGAGUAUGCUCACUUCAGUGCUUUAUAUGUUUGUUAUCUUAAUUGGGAGAUAACGUGGAUAGUUGCCGCAAAAACGGCCGCUUAAGUCGACAGUCUUUGUCUUUUUGGUGAUCCCUUUUAGACAACGACCAAUAUAUUUUCAAACAAGCCUGAAUUUGAGCAAGGCUACCCGCUGAAUUUAAGCAUAUUAUUAAGCGGAGGAAAAGAAACUAACUAGGAUUUCCUUAGUAACGGCGAGUGAACAGGAAAGAGCUCAAACUGAAAAUCGGCAGUUUACUGUUGAAUUGUAGUCUCACGAAGUGCAACCUGUGUUUAUUCUGGGCUAAGUCUCUUGGAAAAGAGUACCAAAGAGGGUGAAAGUCCCGUCUUUGCUUAGAGAUAUUCACGUUCGGUGUAUUUUCAAAGAGUCGCGUUCCUUGAGAUUGGAGCGCUAAGUGGGUGAUAAAUUUCAUCUAAAGCUAAAUACUAACGAGAUUCCGAUAGCAUACAAGUACCGUGAGGGAAAGAUGAAAAGGACUUUGAAAAGAGAGUUAAAAGGAACUGAAAUCGCUGAAAGGUAAGUGGAUGGUUUUGACGGUCUAGCAAUUCUCUAUGUUUGAUUCAGUGUUCUACUGGUUUCGAACACUAGAGUUCUGCGUUGACUCUGGAAGCGGUUUCUCUUUCUGAAUAAAGCAUUGAUGUGUUCCCUUGUGGCUUCACUUCUUUGCUGGUUUCAGAUUGAGGGAUCUGCGCUCUAUCGUGCUCCAUAAGUGGAUGCGUUAUAGAUUCCAGAGAUGUCAUUUCUCUCCGCCCCGUCUUGAAACACGGACCAAGGAGUCUAACUUGUAUGCAAGUACAAGGGUGUCAAACCCACGUGCGAAAUGAAAUUAACAGUUAGGAAGGGCAACCUGCACUAACAUCCGACUACCAAGUUGAGAUUGAGCAUACAGGUUAGGACCCGAAAGAUGGUGAACUAUGCCUGAGUAGGGUGAAGCCAGAGGAAACUCUGGUGGAAGCUCGUAGCGAUACUGACGUGCAAAUCGUUCGUCAAACUUGGGUAUAGGGGCGAAAGACUAAUCGAACCAUCUAGUAGCUGGUUCCCUC
rnacentral:misc_RNA from 1 species